rnacentral:ncRNA from 14 species
GGAUGAUGAGUCUGGAGCCCCCCGAGUUGUGAGGAGAACUUGCGGGGCUGACC